AAAUGCGAUAAGUAGUGCGAAUUGCAGAAUUCAGUGAAUCAUCGAAUCUUUGAACGCACAUUGCGCCCCUUGGUAUUCCAUGGGGCAUGCCUGUUCGAGCGUCAUUUGUACCCUCAAGCUCUGCUUGGUGUUGGGUGUUUGUCCCCGUCUCCGCGCGUGGACUCGCCCCAAAGUGAUUGGCAGCCGGCGUACUGGUCCCGGAGCGCAGCACAUGUCGCGCAAACGAGUGCCUUGGUACGGCGGCGUCCAUAAGCCCCUCUCUCACGCUCUUGACCUCGGAUCAGGUAGGGAUACCCGCUGAACUUAAGC
rnacentral:misc_RNA from 1 species